GGAGAAAUUCGAAGACGAAGGAACGAGCCGGGUGGUUCAGAAACCGGGANGGAAAGGCCGGGGGGAUGAAAGGUCGAGUUCAUUCAUGGACCUUNACGCCCAGGGGCUGUCAAAACGUGGUACAAUGGCGCGGACAAACCGAAGCAAAAACCGUAAGGUCGAGCAAACCGGAAAAAACGCGCCCCAGUUCGGAUUGGGGUUUGCAACUCGAACCCCAUGAAGUCGGAAUCGCUAGUAAUCGCGGAUCAGGUACGCCGCGGUGAAUAUGUUCCUGAGCCUUGUACACACCGCCCGUGAAUCACUAGUGAAUUCGCGG
rnacentral:rRNA from 1 species